rnacentral:lncRNA from 1 species
CGAUUAAGAAACUUCCAUUUUCCUUUCUGAACAGCAACCAUAGUCUAAUAAUAAAAUCCCUAUAUUUAAAUAUCUUGAAAAUUCUUUAAAAAGAACAAUAAUUUGAACACAUUGUUUGAAAAGCUAUGAUCUGUAAAAAUAUUCUGUUAAUUAUCACAGCUUCUUUCUUACCACAGAUGAAAAAAACCUCAAUACUUGAAAAAGAAAAACUUGUCAAAAAACUAUAGAUAAUAUUUAAAGGAGCAAUCACAUAUUUUAAGGAGAAAUAAAAUCAAGUACCCAUCACAAUGGUACAGAGCUGCAGAUGAUAAUUAAGGAGUGUAAGACUUUGUGCCUAUAGUCAUAAAAAGGUAUGAUAUUUUGCUAUCCUCAUUGAGCUGUACAGAAUAGAACACCAGGUGAAAAAUUAAAAUCUCAUUAAAAGACAUAAUGGACAUAAGAGUGGGAUCACAAGUUCAUGAUUGCACAGCAUAAGAAACACUGAUGCAGAGAGCCCUGGGCUCAUCACAGGAUAAGGAGAUAAUUCUAGCUAAAGCAAUCACACAGGACUCAACAGCUUCUUGGUUCUGUCAAAAGCUGCCUCACAGAAUACACAGUGCAAAUAUGUAUCUCAACUUAAAGUGGAAGACAAGAGUUGAGGAGGAGAAAGUAAAUAGAGUCAUCUUGCCUGAGAUGAAGCUCAUAAUUUUCUCUAAACCAAACUGCCUCCGGAGGGGAAACUCACAGCCUAGAAGACUGCAAGAGGAAUGUGCUGAGAACGCAUGUCUCGGGUCCUGGUUUCCCGUGAAGUGGGCUGUGAUGUCCCGGCUAGGUGUGGGUCUGAAGAUCAUCAGAACUGCUUCACCACUUGCCAACCUGCUCACUUUCCCCUGAGUUACUUUCCAAAUUGGAAAAUCAGUGAUUCAUACGAGAAAAACAACAGAUUUGGAGUUGGACAUAUUGGUGUCUCACUGGCUACAUAAUGCUAGUAUUAAAAAAAAAAAAGUGGGAGAUUAUCUCAACUGAGGAUUCUUUUCUUUUAGAAAAGAUCCCAUUGUAUAUGCAUGUUCCAUCUGGCCUCCAUAUCACUUUGUAAGAUUGGGGCUUGGGGACUCAGUAAACCUAGGAUAAUACUCUUGGCAUGGUUUUGUUGUGAGUAAUAAAGUCCUUUGUUUCUGACUCAGGAGUCUGUUAUCUUUUGUCAGUAUCCAUGGAUCUUAUUAGCUCUUAUCCACACAAUGAGACUUAAAUAAAUAUAAAACCCAUGUUAUAAUUUACAUUCAAGAAAGCAUAAUCAUUAAAUAGUAUUGUGUUUAUUCAUCUGGGCCAAUUAACACACAUUGGAACACUUAAUAAAUUGACCAGACACACUUCAUAAAAUCCCACAAUAGGUCAUAUAAUAGAUAUUGUUAAAGUCAUUUUAAAAAAUAAUAAUACUGAGAUUCAGGUUUGAACAGUUUGAAAUACUAUGUAAGUAUUAGGCUCUUGGAGGCAUCAAGGCAGGAGAGUGAUUAGAGUAACAAAUGCAGGUAGAAUGGCCCUUUACACAGCUUUUCUUGGUAAUUUUGCCAAAACCAGCUGUGACCCUUCUCCCAGAGAUCACACACAAUGAAUUUUCUAGCAAGUUUUGUCCCUAACUCUGCACAGGUUCUCAACCCUCCUCAUCUUAUAGGUGAGGAGGUAUCAGGACUUUGUGGACUUAAUCAUGAAGAGAGUGAUGAUUUAGGAGUACGAAAGCCUCAUUUUGCAUCAUGUCUCUCCCACUGUCUGCCUCUGUGUCGAGAUAAGUUAAAUAACCUCUGUUGAGCUCAUUUUACUUAGUACAAAAUGGAGACAGUAAUUCUCCCUGGGAAGGGUCACUGUGUCUGGCACUUGGUAGGUACCCAGUGAAUGGGACACAUCAUUACCACUUCCAAGUCAUACAGCUCAUCAGUGGGAAAGAGAGGCUCUGAUGCGGAGACUCCUGAUAUUUCACAGUUUAAUCAGCUGGAAACCUUUCUUAUCCUGUGGCUCAAAGAAAGAUGAUUCACACAAAAUCCUACAGGAACAGUUGGGGAGGGAUUUGGGGGAAGUCCUUCUAGGCUGACACCGGCGCUGUAAGAGUCACCCCUGGAGAAGUAAUUCUGGGGAGCAAGGUGCCCUUGAUCUGCAGCUGAAGUGUUGUUUAAGUGCCUCAGAGCUUCUCUAAAAUCUUCCUUUGACUUAAAACAGGACAGUAUCCUUUUAUUUAAUCUUCAAAGAAAGGUAUUCCAUUCAUUGAGCUCUUACCUCCUCACUGAGAAAAGGACAGUGAUAAGACAAGGGUGCAAAAUGUGAAGGCAUAUGAGCUGCUCUCUUCAGAGCCAGUUCUCAAAGAAAGAUCAGGCUGUAAACCAGAGCAGUUAAUAUCGAACAUGGCAGUUAAGUCUGAGCUGCUUGUAACUCCAGGAAUAUGAUACAAAUAUACUUGAGGACUGAGGGCUCAUGGGGGGAAGAUUUCAGUUUCUGUAUUGCUCUCUGUAUUUAAAUAAUGCUAAAUAAGAGAGUGAAUUCAGGGUCAGGAAUGGAAAAGGGGAUGAGGAACACUGGAAAAAGAGCAUCACGCAGGUUAGGCAAACUAGCUUUUGAAUGAAUGGGAGCAAGGUCCAAAUCCUGGCUGUUUCAUGAGCAAGUAAACUUGGCAAUGCUCUUUGCCUUACUUGACCCACAGGCAACUAAGGAAAAGAGUUAUCUCCUGGGAGUAUCAUCUAAGUUAAAAAAUAUAAUGUGUGUAACACCUAGCAGUUAAUAAACAUUCAGUACAAGGGAAAUUAGUACUAUUUGAGAGUAAAGUUCAAAAGCAAAACAUUUAUGCACUCUAAUAAUUUCUUUGCACGAGCAAAUAAAUUUUGUACUAUUUUGAUCUUUCCCACUUUAACUUUUAUUAAACAAGAACAUAGGUGGCUCAGAUGGUAAAGAAUUUGCCUGAAAGGAGGGAGACCUGGGUUUGAUUCCUGGGUUGGGAAGAUUCCCCUGGAGAAGUGAACAGCUACCUACUCUAGUAUUCUGGCCUGGAGAAUUCCUUGGACAGAGAACCCUGACAAGCUAUUCUUUGGAACUCUGCAUUCAGAUGCUUAUAUCUUUCCUUUUCUCCUUUGCUUUUCGCUUCUCUUCUUUUCACAGCUAUUUGUAAGGCCUCCUCAGACAGCCAUUUUGCUUUUUUGCAUUUCUUUUCCAUGGGGAUGAUCUUGAUCCCUGUCUCCUGUACAAUGUCAUGAAUCUCCAUCCAUAGUUCAACAGGCACUCGGUCUAUCAGAUCUAGUCCCUUAAACCUAUUUCUCACUUCCACUGUAUUUGAUUGGGAUUUGAUUUAGGUCAUACCUGAAUGGUCUAGUGGUUCUCCCUACUUUCUUCAAUUUAAGUCUGAAUUUGGCAAUAAGGAGUUCAUGAUCUGAGCCACAGUCAGCUCCCGGUCUUCUUUUUGCUGACUAUAUAGAGCUUUUCCAUCUUUGGUUGCAUAUAAUCAAUCUGAUUUUGGUAUUGACCAUCUGGUGAUGUCCAUGUGUAGAGUCUUCUCUUGUGUUGUUGGAAGCGGGUGUUUGCUAUGACCAGUGAGUUCUCUUGGCAAAACUCUGUUAGCCUUUGCUGUGUGCUGUGCUAAGUCACUGUAGUCAUGUCUAACUCUUUAUGACCCCCCAUGUACUGUAGCCCGCCAGGCUUCUCUGAUCAUGGGGUUUUCCAGGCAAGAAUACUAGAAUGGGUUGCCAUUUCCUCCUCCAGGGGAUCUUCCCAUCCCAGGGAUCAAACCAGCGUCUCUCAGUCCUCCUGCAUUGGUAGGCAGGCUCUUUACCGCUAGUGCCACGUGCCCUGCUUCAUUUUGUACCCCAAGGCCAAAUUUGCCUGUCACUCCAGGUAUGUCUUGACUUCCUCUUUUCUCAUUACAGUCCCACAUAAUGAAAAGGACAUCUUUUUUGGGUGUUUGUUCUAGAAGGUCUUAUAGGUCUUCAUAGAACCGUUCAACUUCAGCUUCUUCAGCAUUACUGGUUGGGGCGUAGACUUGGAUUACUGUUAUAUUGAAUAGUAUAGUGAUGGUAUAGUGUGAUAUUGAUAUGGUAUAGUGUUUCCCAAAAUUCCAUGAUGAGAAGAAUCCCUCAAGAUAUUUGGUAGAAACAUAAAUUCUGUAGCCCCAUUCAAAUCCAAAUCUACAAGACAGGUCACUACGGAAGCUCUAUGUUUCAUGAGCACUCCAGGUGAUUGCUAUCGUUUGCAAAGUUUGGGAAGAUCAUUACAAAACACAGAGGUUAGUGUUCUAAGCCUGUCAUCUGUUUUAAUUGGCAGUUCUUUUAGUACAAAGAGAAUUGUUUUGAUCUAUAACAUUAAAGCUAUAUUAGUGGCAAGUAUAAAGAUUAAUCCUGAGUCUUUAAGAAGAGCAGAGAUAUCUCAUUAGAAACAUCCCUAAAAUUUCAACAACUAAAUACUCCAGAAUAUUUAAAGCAAAUCAUAAAGUCAUAUCAAAC